rnacentral:rRNA from 1 species
CCUACGGGAGGCUGCAGUAGGGAAUCUUUCACAAUGGGCGAAAGCCUGAUGGAGCAACGCCGCGUGCAGGAUGAAGGCCUUCGGGUUGUAAACUGCUUAUAUAAGCGAGAAAUAUGUUGGUAACUUAUGAAUAAGGAUCGGCUAACUACGUGCCAGCAGCCGCGGUCAUACGUAGGAGCCGAGCAUUAUCCGGAGUGACUGGGUGUAAAGAGUUGUGUAGGUGGGAUAAUAAGUAGCUAGUGAAAACUGGUGGCUCAACAAUUCAGACUAUUAGCUAAACUGUUGAGCUCGAGACCGUUAGGGGUAACUGGAAUUUCUAGUGUAGGGGUGAAAUCCGUAGAUAUUAGAAAGAACACCAAUGGCGUAGGCAGGUUACUGGAACGGUUCUGACACUAAGGCACGAAAGCGUAGGGAGCAAACGGGAUUAGAUACCCCUGUAGUC